rnacentral:rRNA from 1 species
CCCUUAGAUGUCCGGGGCCGCACGCGCGCUACACUGAAGGAAUCAGCGUGGCUUUCUCCCUGACCCGAAAGGGUUGGGAAACCCGUUGAAUCUCCUUCGUGAUAGGGAUUGGGGCUAAAUUGUUCCCCAUGAACGAGGAAUUCCCAGUAAGCGCGAGUCAUAAGCUCGCGUUGAUUACGUCCCUGCCCUUUGUACACACCGCCCGUCGCUACUACCGAUUGAACGGUUUAGUGAGGGCCUCGGAUUGGUCUCGGCCCGCUCUUUACCGGGCGGCGCCGUUGGUCGAGAAGACGCUCGAACUUGAUCGUUUAGAGGAAGUAAAAGUCGUAACA